rnacentral:rRNA from 1 species
AUUGAACGCUGGCGGCGUGCUUUACACAUGCAAGUCGAGCGGCAGCAUUACCUUCGGGUAGAUGGCGAGCGGCGAACGGGUGAGUAAUACAUCGGAACGUACCUUUUAGUGGGGAUAACGCAUCGAAAGAUGUGCUAAUACCGCAUAAUCUCUGAGGAGGAAAGGCGGGGACCUUCGGGCCUGUCGCUGAAAGAGCGGCCGAUGGCUGAUUAGCUGGUUGGAGGGGUAAAAGCCCACCAAGGCGAUGAUCAGUAGCUGUUCUGAGAGGAAGAUCAGCCACACUGGGACUGAGACACGGCCCAGACUCCUACGGAGGCAGCAGUGGGGAAUUUUGGACAAUGGGGGCAACCCUGAUCCAGCAACGCCGCGUGAAUGAAGAAAGCCUUAGGGUUGUAAAGUUCUUUUGUCUGGGAGCAAAAGGGUAUUGCUAAUAACAGUACCUCAUGAGAGUACCAGAAGAUAAGCACGGCUAACUAGUGCCAGCAGCCGACGG